rnacentral:tRNA from 1 species
GCACUUGUAGCUCAGUAGGUAGAGCAUCGGUCUUAUGAGCCGAAGGUCAUGGGUUCAAUCCCCAUCUAGUGCA